rfam:Gossypium arboreum cultivar AKA8401 contig_4664_5, whole genome shotgun sequence.
UGUUAAAAAUUUUUAUCAAUUUCUAUUGUUAAAAACUAGUGUGGCUCACGUGUACCUCAUUCUGAUGUACAUGAACCAGUUUUUAACAGUAAAAUAGAUAUAACUUUUAACA